rnacentral:rRNA from 1 species
UACGUAGGGUGCGAGCGUUGUCCGGAAUUAUUGGGCGUAAAGCGCGUGUAGGCGGCAUGGCAAGUCGGGUGUGAAAGCCCUCAGCUUAACUGAGGAAGUGCGCCCGAAACUGCCGUGCUUGAGUGCCGGAGAGGGUGGCGGAAUUCCCCAAGUAGAGGUGAAAUUCGUAGAUAUGGGGAGGAACACCGGUGGCGAAGGCGGCCACCUGGACGGUAACUGACGCUGAGACGCGAAAGCGUGGGGAGCAAACAGG